rnacentral:rRNA from 1 species
CAUGCAAGUCGUACGCUUCUUUUUCCACCGGAGCUUGCUCCACCGGAAAAAGAAGAGUGGCGAACGGGUGAGUAACACGUGGGUAACCUGCCCAUCAGAAGGGGAUAACACUUGGAAACAGGUGCUAAUACCGUAUAACAAUCGAAACCGCAUGGUUUUGAUUUGAAAGGCGCUUUCGGGUGUCGCUGAUGGAUGGACCCGCGGUGCAUUAGCUAGUUGGUGAGGUAACGGCUCACCAAGGCCACGAUGCAUAGCCGACCUGAGAGGGUGAUCGGCCACAUUGGGACUGAGACACGGCCCAAACUCCUACGGGAGGCAGCAGUAGGGAAUCUUCGGCAAUGGACGAAAGUCUGACCGAGCAACGCCGCGUGAGUGAAGAAGGUUUUCGGAUCGUAAAACUCUGUUGUUAGAGAAGAACAAGGAUGAGAGUAACUGUUCAUCCCUUGACGGUAUCUAACCAGAAAGCCACGGCUAACUACGUGCCAGCAGCCGCGGUAAUACGUAGGUGGCAAGCGUUGUCCGGAUUUAUUGGGCGUAAAGCGAGCGCAGGC